GAUGAACUCUUUCUACAGGCUUAACACAUGCAAGUCGAGGGGCAUCAAGAAGAAAGCUUGCUUUCUUUGCCGGCGACCGGCGCACGGGUGAGUAACACGUAUCCAACCUGCCCUUUACUCGGGGAUAGCCUUUCGAAAGAAAGAUUAAUACCCGAUAGUAUAAUGAUUCCGCAUGGUUUCAUUAUUAAAGGAUUCCGGUAAAGGAUGGGGAUGCGUUCCAUUAGGUUGUUGGUGAGGUAACGGCUCACCAAGCCUUCGAUGGAUAGGGGUUCUGAGAGGAAGGUCCCCCACAUUGGAACUGAGACACGGUCCAAACUCCUACGGGAGGCAGCAGUGAGGAAUAUUGGUCAAUGGGCGCUAGCCUGAACCAGCCAAGUAGCGUGAAGGAUGAAGGCUCUAUGGGUCGUAAACUUCUUUUAUAUAAGAAUAAAGUGCAGUAUGUAUACUGUUUUGUAUGUAUUAUAUGAAUAAGGAUCGGCUAACUCCGUGCCAGCAGCCGCGGUAAUACGGAGGAUCCGAGCGUUAUCCGGAUUUAUUGGGUUUAAAGGGAGCGUAGGUGGACUGGUAAGUCAGUUGUGAAAGUUUGCGGCUCAACCGUAAAAUUGCAGUUGAUACUGUCAGUCUUGAGUACAGUAGAGGUGGGCGGAAUUCGUGGUGUAGCGGUGAAAUGCUUAGAUAUCACGAAGAACUCCGAUUGCGAAGGCAGCUCACUGGACUGCAACUGACACUGAUGCUCGAAAGUGUGGGUAUCAAACAGGAUUAGAUACCCUGGUAGUCCACACAGUAAACGGAGGAAAUCUUCGCCGUUUUGCGGAUAUACAGUAAGCGGCCAAGCGAAAGCCAUAAAGUAUUCCACCUGGGGAAGUCGCCGGCCAACGGGGAACUCAAAGGAAUUGACGGGGGCCCCGCACAAGCGGAGGAACAUGUGGUUAAUUUCGAUGAUACGCGAGGAACCUUACCCCGGGCUUAAAUUGCAGUGGAAUGAUGUGGAAACAUGUCAGUGAGCAAUCACCGCUGUGAAGGUGCUGCAUGGUUGUCGUCAGCUCGUGCCGUGAGGUGUCGGCUUAAGUGCCAUAACGAGCGCAACCCUUAUCUUCAGUUACUAACAGGUCAUGCUGAGGACUCUGGAGAGACUGCCGUCGUAAGAUGUGAGGAAGGUGGGGAUGACGUCAAAUCAGCACGGCCCUUACGUCCGGGGCUACACACGUGUUACAAUGGGGGGUACAGAAGGCAGCUAGCGGGUGACCGUAUGCUAAUCCCAAAAUCCUCUCUCAGUUCGGAUCGAAGUCUGCAACCCGACUUCGUGAAGCUGGAUUCGCUAGUAAUCGCGCAUCAGCCACGGCGCGGUGAAUACGUUCCCGGGCCUUGCACU
rnacentral:rRNA from 1 species